UGGGUUGUGGCUCAGUGGAAGAGUGCUCACCUAGUAUGUAUGAGGACCUGGGUUCAAUCCUCAGCACCACAU
rfam:Ictidomys tridecemlineatus contig137089, whole genome shotgun sequence.